AACGAACGCUGGCGGCAGGCUUAACACAUGCAAGUCGAACGCAUCCUUCGGAGUUAGUGGCGGACGGGUGAGUAACACGUGGGAACGUGCCUUUAGGUUCGGAAUAACUCAGGGAAACUUGUGCUAAUACCGAAUGUGCCCUUCGGGGGAAAGAUUUAUCGCCUUUAGAGCGGCCCGCGUCUGAUUAGCUAGUUGGUGAGGUAAAGGCUCACCAAGGCGACGAUCAGUAGCUGGUCUGAGAGGAUGAUCAGCCACAUUGGGACUGAGACACGGCCCAAACUCCUACGGGAGGCAGCAGUGGGGAAUCUUGCGCAAUGGGCGAAAGCUUGACGCAGCCAUGCCGCGUGAAUGAUGAAGGUCUUAGGAUUGUAAAAUUCUUUCACCGGGGACGAUAAUGACGGUACCCGGAGAAGAAGCCCCGGCUAACUUCGUGCCAGCCGCCGCAGUAACAC
rnacentral:rRNA from 1 species